CCGACCUUGGGAGACGGAGGUUACCAGUGGUCGUUCCAGCGUGUCGGGUUUGGUGACUUUCCGUUGUCCCAAGGAGAGUAAUUCUUUACAAGAAAGUGAUUGAAACAACACCAAGAAACUUUAAUGGAAUUAAGUUGGGACAUCUCCUUCACUCCUAUUCACAAGGAUGGGUACUGAGAUGCAAGAGAGUUUUCCAUUCCUCAACAGAGACAACUUCCUAAAGGGUAAAUGGAAGACCCUUGUGACAUGCAGGACAGGAAUUGCAGCUCAUUAAGGAAGUUUACCUGAGGUGAAGAAUAUCUCUAACAUGGAGUUUCACAAGUGACUGAUUUCACGCUGAAUGAAUAAAGUGCCUUCAGUAGGAGACUUCUGCAUAGAGAGCACAAACCAAUGCUAUAGGAUUCAGGUGGCAGAGUAGAGUCCACAAUAGCACUGAGCUUUUUUUGCACCUCCAAGGAAGACGAAUGAUGAGGAAGAGCUGUGGCAGAAGUAGCCUCAGGCAAGAAACGUGAUGCUGUGACACCCCCUCUCCAUCUGCUUGCAGAAAAGAAGCCUGUGCUGUUGAGUGAACGUGGAGCAGAGGGAAGCACUGAAUUUCUCAAGAAGAAGACAGAAAAAUGUGCUGAUUUUCUCUAUUGGACAAAGAUGCCAGCAUUAAUUUGUGGUGGUUUUUUUGUUUGUUUUUUUUUUUUUUUUUUAGCUGGAUAGAAGACUGAAAGCUAAUUUUGUCACUGUAACAGUGUUUAAGGCAGAGAUAUUUUAGCAUCCAAAGACAUUGAAACUGAGAUGUAAAUGGGAACAAAGGAAUAUAUCCAAAAACUACUUGGAUUCAAAAUAGUUACUAAACCACCCUAUAAUUCA